GACAGAGGGUGCAAACGUUGUUCGGAAUUACUGGGCGUAAAGCGCACGUAGUCGGCUUUGCAAGUCGGUUGUGAAAUCCCCGGGCUCAACCUGGGAACUGCAUCCGAGACUGCAUUGCUAGAGUAUGGGAGAGGAAAGCGGAAUUUCUGGUGUAGCAGUGAAAUGCGUAGAUAUCAGAAGGAACAUCAGUGGCGAAGGCGGCUUUCUGGACCAAUACUGACGAUCAGGUGCGAAAGCGUGGGGAGCAAACAGG
rnacentral:rRNA from 1 species